rnacentral:rRNA from 1 species
CAAUAGCGUAUAUUAAAGUUGUUGCAGUUAAAAAGCUCGUAGUUGGAUUUGUGGUGUACUUCGGCGGCCCGUCACUAUGUGAUGGAGCUUGCUGAAGUCGCCAUCCUUGGGUGGAUCCUGUGUGGCAUUAAGUUGUCGUGCAGGGGAUGCCCAUCGUUUACUGUGAAAAAAUUAGAGUGUUCAAAGCAGGCUUAUGCCGUUGAAUAUAUUAGCAUGGAAUAAUAAGAUAGGACCUUGGUACUAUUUUGUUGGUUUGCGCACCAAGGUAAUGAUUAAUAGGGACAGUUGGGGGUAUUCGUAUUUCAUUGUCAGAGGUGAAAUUCUUGGAUUUUUGAAAGACGAACUACUGCGAAAGCAUUUACCAAGGAUGUUUUCAUUAG